UUCUAAUUCUAAGGGGGUCAGUGGCUAUUAUACUUUGCAGGCAUAGGGGAGGCUUGAUUUUUCUCCCCAGUGGGUAUCGUCACAGUUUUCUGAGGGGCCUAUCUAUUUAAAAUAUCUUAAACCCCAUUGUUUUGGAAUAAAAAUGGUGAGUAAAAUGUAUAUACCUUUUUAUAGUUAUGAAUCUCAUCGGAUAAUUGCAGUGCUGGUAUGUCAGUAUUUAACAACUUCUAUUGCAAAUGCUGGUCUUUAAAUUUUGCAUUAUAUUUUAUAUACUUUGCCAUAAAUGUUUAUGAAUGUUAUAUGAUGUCAUUAAUGCAAGACCUCAUCAUUGCAUGGCUGUAUGCAAUUUAGCAGUGUUGAGCAUUUAUGUGGUUCACUGACUUCAAGUUUAUAUGACCAUUGCCAUAUUGGAACAAAGCAUAUUUUUGAUUAAAAAUCUCAAUAAAAUAUAAUAUAAUAAGAGACAAUAUGAUAAUGGAUUGACCUGUCAAUUAGAUACUUAUUCUCUAUUCUGCUCUUUAAUGGUAUUUGUUUCACUAACUCUGAACUGCUUUCCUAGAGUUGUACUUUAAGUCUCUGUUUUCAUGGUAUGAAGCUAUAUUUGAAAAGUAAUAAUAAAUCCAUGACAGUUAUUUACAUGUAUUAUAUCAUUUAAGUGUGCACAGACGGUAAUUUAUUUGAGUUUAACAGUGGGCUAAACAAGACAUUGACAUUUUGGCCAUGUGACCCAUUUCUCUGUGCAUGAUCCAUCACACAGGUGCCUAAGUGUCGAGGACCCCAGUAGCAGGUGAAGGCCAAGGGGGUGCCCACGUUUCACCUGGCUGCGGCAGAUAGAUGGUUUUUUAGAGUUGAGCGAGUGGACAGUUGUCUGCCUGAGUGGUUGCCAUCCAGGAGCCCGUGCUUGGCUGCAAUUAAACAAGGGGCACUACAGAAUACCACAUAAGGAAUACAGAUGAACUUUGAAGCAGUACAAAUUAUCCAUGCACAUUUUAAGUGCAAUGAAUUAAAUAGUACUCUAUUACUCAUUGUAAAUACUCUAAAUAGUCCUUAUUUAAGGGAGUAAAAAUAAAUACCCAUGAAGUGAAAUUACUGGCCAACUAUUGAUGAACUAAAAUUGCAUUUAGGCUCCUACAGCAGUUCCAUGGUGUUGUGGAUGCGGCAAAGUGCAGCAUCAGUGCAUUCUCCCAGACUUGACUUCAGUGUCAAAGAGAAUAGCUCAUAUGGUUUGUUACAUGCAUUGACUUAGUUCGCAUGUGAGUAGAAUUUCAGAGUUUGGCCUUUUGAGCAUGAUAUUAUGCCUAAAUUUGAUAUCUGGCUAAAUGAAAUCUGUUAUUUUUGAUCCUAUCUUAGACAUAUGAUAUGAUAUGAUAAGAAAAUAUGAGAGGUAACAGAGUGCAAAGGGAUGAGGAACUUGGCAACAAAAAUAUUUCAAGAUUUUUCACCUCAGUAGUUUUUGGACUCUGACUCCAGGCCUCUGUGUUUUGGCCUCAACUGAAAUUGUGAAAUUCCUGGGCAUGAAUUUUGCAAGUAUAUUUAACACGUCCAAGGUCAGCGUGGUUUUCAGCUGUACUUUUUACACAAUUCAAAUAGAGAUAGGGGAGGUUAACCCUUUGGGAAGUAAGGAUGCUUUUCUGCAAUUACCACCAAAGUGAUACAAAUGUAAAGUCUAACUAGACCUGAACACAGAGUAAAUGAGCCCUUUGUUUUUUAAAAACUCACCAAAAGGAAAAUCUAGUAGAAUCUAGAACUGGAGUUGCAUUAGAGAGGGCAAAGCGGACCUGAACUGGAUUUGUUGUGGCAAAUGGCAGUAGCCAACACUGCCACCCCCUCCCUCCCCCAGCUCCUUGGAAUUAAAUUCUUAAUGUAGCUAAAUAGGUAAAGAUUUGGAAUUAGCAUUCAAAUUGGUGUCCCUGUCAAAUCAUAUUUUUUCUUUGCUUGUUUUGGCACAAAAAAUUUUUUUUUGGUUACCCAACUGGUGCCCAUGUUUUGCCAACACAGGGAUAAAUUUAAUUUUAAUGUAAUCUUUAUUUAACCAGUUUAAUCCCAUUAAGAUCAAGGCAUCUUUUGCGAGGGAGACCUGGACAAUUAUAAAGUUUCCAACUGACUUAUCCUGUGUUGUGUGGGCCGCUGAAGAGGAGGUACU